AUGAACGCUAGCGGCAGGCCUAACACAUGCAAGUCGAGGGGCAGCAUAAACAAGCUUGCUUGUUUGGUGGCGACCGGCGCACGGGUGCGUAACGCGUAUGCAACCUACCUUAUACUGGGGUAUAGCCCGGAGAAAUUCGGAUUAAUCCCCCAUAGUACUAUUUGAUCGCAUGGUUGAAUAGUUAAAGCAUUGCGGUAUAAGAUGGGCAUGCGUCCUAUUAGCUAGAUGGUGAGGUAACGGCUCACCAUGGCUACGAUAGGUAGGGGGCCUGAGAGGGUGGUCCCCCACACUGGUACUGAGACACGGACCAGACUCCUACGGGAGGCAGCAGUGAGGAAUAUUGGUCAAUGGGCGCAAGCCUGAACCAGCCAUGCCGCGUGCAGGAAGAAUGCCCUAUGGGUUGUAAACUGCUUUUAUUUGGGAAUAAACCUCUUUACGUGUAGAGAGCUGAAGGUACCAAAUGAAUAAGCACCGGCUAACUCCGUG
rnacentral:rRNA from 1 species